rnacentral:lncRNA from 1 species
ACCCACAUAACUAGCACAUAGCUCGCAAGCGCCUGUUGCAUUAUGGGUACUUCCUACACAUUCACAAAGACAAACCCACAUAACUAGCACAUAGCUUGCAAACGCCUGUAGCAUUAUCCCUGAGAGACCUGAUACUCUCUUCUGGCAUCUCUAUGCACAGACAUGUGGGCAAGUGUACAUUCAGUCACACACACAAACACACACACACAUGCACUGUAGAGACAUAUAUCUACCACAUGUGCAUACCUACCCACACACAGCGACAUGUAUGUACCACACUCCCACACAAGUACUUGCAUAUACACACAGACACACAUAUGCACCUCACAUAAAAGAUUAAGUAGAGAAAUCAUCAUAAAAUAUCAAGUACUAUAUGAACUAAAAUGAAUGGUGUUUUAAUAUCAGGGACUAUUCUACAUGUCUUCCAUAUAUUCCCAGAGUUGAUGCUCAUAAUAAUAAGUUAGUGAUAGUGUUGUGAAUAUUCUGUUUCUAUAGGUCAGUAAAACUGAGUCAAAUAAAAGAAUAUGAUAUUUUAAAUCUACUGAAAAAUCAUUGAAAAUGCACAUAAAAACUUUAAGAACCCUGUAUUCCACAGUUACUUGAGCCAUUUGAGAAUAGUUCAUAUAUGCUAGAUUACACAGUGUAAGCAAACUGCAUGAAUCUGUUAUGCAUUAGAAUAAAAGGUAAAUUGUGCAUGCUAUUCCUGUGAGCUUCUAGCAGGCAGUAUCAUCAUUUGAUCUCUGCAUGGAGCAUACUCUAAGUGUUUGAGGUUAACGAUCAGAAGACACAGGACAGAUUAAAUAAAUGUGGCUGGCCCUCAGCAUGCCCAAACACUGCUCUGAUUGUGUCUAGGAUCUGACUUAGAAAGAACAUCCGUAUGCUGGGAGUGUAGUUUAUUUUUGCUAUUUCAUUUUGCUUAUUCACAGUGUCCUCAAGGUUCAGUGUCCGUAUUUACUUAAAUCCAGGCUUGAUCUUGAAUUUAAUUACUUUUUUCAGCAAUAGGAAUUGAACCGCAGUUACUGCUCUCCUGUCCCCAGUGGUAAACACUGCUGUCCAUAUAUUGAUCUACACUCUGAUCUUGGCAACUGCUAAAAGGUGAUGCUUAGAGGCUUUUCUGCUGCUCUGCACUAGAGGCGGCAGGGCUCUCCCCUCCCUGUUAAUAAUGCAUGGGCAGUUUUUCUCCCCUUCUUUAAAGUGAGGAAGCCUUCUCUUGUGUCACUGGUGAAAUGAGUGCCACUCAUUUGGAUGUUUAGCCAACGUUAAUUAAUUGUCACUGUUCUUGAGGAUCACAGGUCUGAGGCAGGGCUCACCCAGCUGAAGUUCACUUAUCAGCAAUACACAUCUUUCAUGGUUCCUAAGGAAGAUUCCUUUGUCUGCUCAUUGCUUUCCUCUGUGGAUGCCAGUUUCUUGAGGAUAUGGGACUAACGAACUUUCCUCCUAGAUUAUAAUGUUGGAUCUGUUCACUAUUUUUCAAAGCCGUGACAUUCCUCAGGUUUCUCUUUCUUUAAAUCAUGAGCCAUCAACUAUGGAUUAAAUGACUGUCCUCAUGGUCUUCUUAAUUCAAACACCAUGAAUUCAUGUUUCUUCCACCAUACUUUCUUUCCAGGAAUUCUGACCACACCCAGGCUUUAAGAAUGUAUUGGUCUAAUUCCGUUAAACUAGGAAAAUCUCCCCCCUCCCUAGGUCUUUUAAUAUCCUGUGGAAAGUCUUGCAAUAUAUAACAUAUUUAUAACUUGUUGAGAUCCUGGCUAAUUUGGUAGGGAUGAUAGUAGCUUGUAAGUGUUAGUUGGUUUCUCAGGAGUACAAUACUUAUGUUUCAUAGAAUCUCAAGAGAGGAUCAUGCAUAUAUAAUUUUACACAGUCCUUCAGUUUGAAGUACUUGAAAGUUAAUUUGUCGUUCCUUUGUUGUUUUGUUGAUGAAAGAGUUUCUGGUAAUGCGGCUCUUCCUUGAAAAGCCCUGAUCCUCCAUAGAUCCUGAGUUUGGUUCCUAGCACCUAACAGAGAGGGUUCCAGCAAAGGCUUGACAUCCUCUUCUGACCUCUGUAGGGACCGACAGUACAUUCAUCAUUAAUACACAUCAGGACACUUAGACAUACACAUUCAUAAAGAAAAAAAAUGGAAAGUUUUAAAUAUCAUCAAAAAAGGGAGGCAUUCAGUUUUAUUUUAUCCAGAAUUGUAAACAAUAUAGACAACUUUACAAGGCAAGUACUUGUGGAGGGGAGAUGGCCAGACUCUGAGACUAAUAGUAGCUGUGGUCUCUAAUAGCUGUACCUGAAUGAUAUCCCAGGACUUCUAAAAGCCCCCCCCCCCCAUGUGACAACUUCAAAUGCUUUGCAUAGCACAUUAGCUGUAGAUUGCAAAUUAACUUCAAGAUGUGAUCAGAGGACCAUCACCAGCGUGACUUCUGAAGGUUCAGUUAAGCAACAUGCACCCAAUAGACCAGAUGCUACACUGUAUGCUGAGUAAUAACUUGGAGAAGUCUUGGGCGAGAUAACGGCUGUAAGACAGAUGCAAUGUGAACUGACUUUUGAGGGCUGUGAUUCCUCCUUUUAUCCAAAGUCUUAUAUGUUUCACAAUGUUAAUACACCAAGGCUAUACUUUGGUACUUAGAAUGUGUGGUGUGUGCAGGUUGGUCUAAAUAUAUUAGGCAGUUUGAAAUGAAGGUCUCUGAAGUAAGAAUUAGGAAGCAUAGGCUUGAGUUCUGAGUCCGCUGCCACAGAGAUUAUAACUGGAAUCUCUAUGUCUCUGGACUUCUACCAUGUGAAUCUUAAGUGACAUAGUCACUGAAUCUACACCUAAUGUGUUCUGCUCAGAGUACAGAAUUUUCCAUCAAGAUCUUAACACCUACUCAGGAGUAUUGUUCCCAAAUAAAACACAACAUGAGACUAAAAAUGACAUCACAGAGCCAAUUUUGUGUUUAGUGUUUUAUUUAUUUUAAAGUACAAAUGGAGUUUGUAAAGGAAAUGAUAAUUGAGAAAAGUGAAAAAUUGAGUUGUAAGCUGUGACUAAGAUUUGAAAUAUGGCUAGAACUUAGAUGUUUAAGAGGGAAGCAAUUAUUGUGGCGUAUCUAUAAAAACUGAAAUUAGUCUACACUAAUAUGCUGAGAAAAAAAUUACCACCAUGUUCCUUAGCACAGCAACCCCAUUGAUAAAAGCUAAGAUGCAAAGAAUUAGAUAGCUUGAGAGAUGAGGUAUAAGUGAUAUUUCAGGGAUUUACAAAAUUAAGAAGCUUAGGUUAAACCACAUAGGUUAAUUACAGAAACCUAGUUUGAUUUUAGUUUCUUAGCAGGAAAUAGUUCUAUAUACAUAUCACUUCUAUCACACACACAAAAAAGAGAUUUAACAGUUCCAGACCUAGAUAUAGUACUGCAGGUAUGUAGUUGGAAGGAGAGAUUAUCAAUGGUAAGUAAUGGCAAAAAAAAUAGAAUAGGU